GCACCUGUAAACCUGUGGAAACACGGGUCCCUCCUUCCGGGAGCAGGUGUAGAGGUGGUGCAUGGUUGUCGUCAGCUCGUGUCGUGAGAUGUUGGGUUAAGUCCCGCAACGAGCGCAACCCUCGACCUUAGUUGCCAGCAUUCAGUUGGGCACUCUAAGGUGACUGCCGGCUAAAAGUCGGAGGAAGGUGGGGAUGACGUCAAAUCAUCAUGCCCCUUAUGACCUGGGCUACACACGUGCUACAAUGGGCGGUACAAAGGGUCGCGAACCCGCGAGGGGGAGCCAAUCCCAAAAAGCCGCUCUCAGUUCGGAUUGCAGGCUGCAACUCGCCUGCAUGAAGCCGGAAUCGCUAGUAAUCGCGGAUCAGCAUGCCGCGGUGAAUACGUUCCCGGGCCUU
rnacentral:rRNA from 1 species